CCCAGAUCAUUAUCUCACGCUUUUAUGAAAUUUUGUGUUUAAACCAAGACUCUUCCUAACAAAAAUCCAGUAUCGGCGAACACUUUACACACGUUCAUUAAGCUAAGUUUUCCCAGAAUUUACGGGUCACUUGAUCACGACAUUCCAGUGAAAAUGCGUCACACACAAGCCUACAUCCCUCUGGUAUGUCGAUUGCAGAUCUGAACAUACUGCAAACAUACAAGGAUGCGAACUUCAAAAUCUUCUACCAACGCGUACCAUACGAAGCGUGGUUGACCGUGCUGGCGUUCACCUUGACACUGGGCACCUCAGUAGCCGUUGCUGUCCUAGCACUCAUCUGUGUUCACAUUUAUCUCAAAUUCUGGCUCUUUCACCAUUGAGCUCGUCACUGGUCUACCCUGGGUCAGCACAGUACACACAACACGCUCUGACAAGAACUCAGCCAAGAACAACAACAACGAAUGCAAACUGGAAAUGGUCAAGGAGACCUGUUCCAGCGGCGCCCAAUCUGACAACAGCUCAAUGUGCAGUUAGGGGAUUGUGUCCUUGGCGCGAAGCACUACCAGACUGUAGACAACAAU